AUUGAACGCUGGCGGCAUGCUUUACACAUGCAAGUCGAACGGUAACAGGCCGCAAGGUGCUGACGAGUGGCGAACGGGUGAGUAAUGCAUCGGAACGUGCCCAGUCGUGGGGGAUAACGCAGCGAAAGCUGCGCUAAUACCGCAUACGAUCUCUGGAUGAAAGCGGGGGACCGAAAGGCCUCGCGCGAUUGGAGCGGCCGAUGUCAGAUUAGGUAGUUGGGGGGGUAAAGGCCCACCAAGCCAACGAUCUGUAGCUGGUCUGAGAGGACGACCAGCCACAGUGGGACUGAGACACGGCCCAGACUCCUACGGGAGGCAGCAGUGGGGAAUUUUGGACAAUGGGCGCAAGCCUGAUCCAGCAAUGCCGCGUGCAGGAAGAAGGCCUUCGGGUUGUAAACUGCUUUUGUACGGAACGAAACGGUCCGGGUUAAUACCCUGGGCUAAUGACGGUACCGUAAGAAUAAGCACCGGCUAACUACGUGCCAGCCGCCGCAGUAA
rnacentral:rRNA from 1 species